AGAGCGACCUCAACUGAGAAGGUGAAAGAAAGAUCCCACAGUGUAGCUCUCCAAGCCUUUGCGCGUGGGUGAUGUGAUGUGCUGGAUUCCAUUUGAGGUUGUCUCUCCGACACUGAGCUCCUUUGAAUCGCCCUUCCUCGCGCUAAUCCCUCUUUUGGUCUAACUUCGAUUCUUCCCUCCGCUCGGGCCUUCUGCCCAUCCACCGGUCUCUGUUAUCAGUAAAGUGAUCCCUCC